rnacentral:rRNA from 1 species
UGAGGGAUAUUGCACAAUGGGCGAAAGCCUGAUGCAGCAACGCCGCGUGAGGGAUGACGGUUUUCGGAUUGUAAACCUCUGUCUUCGGUGAAGAAAAAAAUGACGGUAACCGAGGAGGAAGCCACGGCUAACUACGUGCCAGCAGCCGCGGUAAUACGUAGGUGGCAAGCGUUGUCCGGAAUUACUGGGUGUAAAGGGAGCGCAGGCGGGGAUUCAAGUUGGAUGUGAAAUACCGGGGCUCAACCCCGGGGCUGCAUCCAAAACUGAAUCUCUUGAGUGGAGUAGAGGUAGGCGGAAUUCCGAGUGUAGCGGUGAAAUGCGUAGAUAUUCGGAGGAACACCAGUGGCGAAGGCGGCCUACUGGGCUCUAACUGACGCUGAGGCUCGAAAGUGUGGGGAGCAAACA